AACUGCUACGUCCGAGUUCACUUCUCUCCAUUAGGUUAAAUUCUGAGUGAUGUGUAGUCAGACUUGCGUUUCCCAGGCUAACCUGAAAGGGCCAGGUCUCUCCAGUGAGAAUUCAUUACCAGUGUCUUCAGUAUUUCUGUGGGGAGGAAAAAAACUCUGAAAAUGUUGAGUUAUGCUCUUUUUUAUCUGACAAAAAUAUAUCGCAGGAGGAUUUGCAAGCCUGUCUUAAAAUAGAGGCCCUUAUCAGGAUAAAGAAAGCAGAAGAUUUUAUUCAUCUGGCCUUCAUCAUGUACGAUUUCAAAGCUGUGAAAGGCACCCUGGAGUGGUCUCCUAGAGAGUGUGAUGCAGUUUAGAUGCAGCCUCUGAGCCUCACUUGCAGCGUGGAAAACGAUGGUCAGGCUGCUUUUCUGUGUG